CCUAACCCUAGCAACACAUUUCGCUCCCCACAGCGGCGGCGGCCACAGCCACACGUUCUCGCGCGGGAUCUAAUUCCAAACAGCACUGCCCUUGCUUCUACCGUUCCCCAAGUGCGCUCCCUCUCUCGCCAUCCAUCUCGUGCACGACUGGGCAACCGUUGCCGCUGUCGAGGUGCCCAGGUCUUCAUCGGUCCCUCGUCAGUUCUUCUCCGGCCCUUCGCCGCCGACAAGCUCCGCCAGGUACGCCCACCAUUCUCUUCCGUCCAUGCUUUGCGAUGGUGAGCACCCACUACCCAAACCCUAACUGGAUCUGUCAAGUGUUUACAUGUAUUUUGCCUACUAACUUCGGUUUUUUUAAUUAUCGGUGUACGUCUAUGCCGUUUACUGCAUUCACCUCUGCUCGUUUGUUUGAUUCAGUUGAGCAGUGACAUCGUGAGCUUAUAUGCUAGUGUAGCUUAUUGGUGUUUCAAGCAAUGUAUGUCAAAUAUCUAGAUUAGCAAUUUAUAAACCACGUAAAACCGUGACAGUAUCAUAAUGGCAUAAGAGGUUCUUUUAUUUUGUUUGAACAUUCUAGUCAGAGUAAGUUAUGUGUCUGUUUUCUGCAUGCUGAAGGUUAUACUCAAACCACUUGUGAAAUGGCUCUCACCCUAUAUCUUUCUUUAGAGCAUCUCCAACAGAGUGCCCUAAAAUAAUGCCCUAAAAAUUAAAUUUCUAUCUCAUUUAAAAAGUAUAGGGCACAAAAAAUAGUUCACACUCCAACAAUAAGCCCUAAAGUAAGGCAAAUAACCGUGAAUCGGUUUUUUUCCGUCCAUUUGCCGCGAACUUUUCCCGCCUGUGAGCCUUUGGCGCCUAUUUUCCCACCCGCGUUCAUCUUCCCGGCGACGGCGCGACCCCAGGUUCUAUCACAUCGCCAUCAAUACCUCUACCACAAAUCAACCUCUCUGUUUUGAUAGACGUUUGCCCACACAGGUACUACAUCUACAGCGCCACAGGUACUACAUCUUCCCUGUGUUUUCUAUUCAAGUAUUCAGCCAUGCGCCCAUGCCUUUGUCGUCGUUAUUUAGCCAUGCCUGUGUACAUCUGCCGCAUUGUUUUAUUCUCCCACGCAACUGAGCAGAUUAUUUAAACAAAUCAGUCAAACGCACAUGAUCAGUUACAUAAAUCCAUUCACUUAAGCAUGUACAUGUACUGGUUAUUAAACUCUGAUAGGCUUGUUAUUGGUGAAGCCCCAGAAGUUUCCUAUACAAUUAAUGGACACAACUACGACAUGGGCUAUUACUUAGCAGACGGGAUCUAUCCUUCUUGGUCGACUUUUGUGAAAACUAAGAAGCCUGCGGCUAAUUUGAAAGAUAAAAAUUUUGCUAAAGCACAAGAGUCACAAAGAAAAGAUGUCGAACGUGCAUUUGGAGUAUUACAGGCUCGCUUUGCCAUUGUUCGAGGACCUGCGCGGCUUUGGGAUGAAGCUACACUUCGCGACAUUAUGACAGCCUGUGUAAUCAUGCAUAACAUGAUAAUUGAAGAUGAACCGGUUGACGACAAACUAAACGACAUUGAUCUGACAAAUGUGGUUUCACGAGCAGGAACUGGGAAGUUUUCUUCUUUUGUUCAGAUGCGCGAAGAAAUCGAGAAUGGUCAUAGUCAUCGUCAACUCCAGGAAGACCUGAUUGAACACCUAUGGGAGCGGCGCGGACACAUGAACCAUCAACAAUAAUUCAUUUUAUGUUUCAGCAAUAGUCAUCGUCAGUAGCUUUAUGUUUCAGCAGUAGCUUUAUGUUUGAGCAUCUUGUGUAGCUUUCUGGACACAUGAAGCAGCAACAAUAA
rnacentral:lncRNA from 1 species